rnacentral:rRNA from 1 species
AAACUUAAAGGAAUUGACGGGGGCCCGCACAAGCGGUGGAGCAUGUGGUUUAAUUCGACGCAACGCGCAGAACCUUACCAGCCCUUGACAUGUCCAUGACCGGUCGCAGAGAUGUGACCUUCUCUUCGGAGCAUGGAGCACAGGUGCUGCAUGGCUGUCGUCAGCUCGUGUCGUGAGAUGUUGGGUUAAGUCCCGCAACGAGCGCAACCCCCGUCCUUAGUUGCUACCAUUUAGUUGAGCACUCUAAGGAGACUGCCGGUGAUAAGCCGCGAGGAAGGUGGGGAUGACGUCAAGUCCUCAUGGCCCUUACGGGCUGGGCUACACACGUGCUACAAUGGCGGUGACAAUGGGAUGCAAAGGGCGAACCCCUAGCAAAUCUCAAAAGACCGUCUCAGUUCGGAUUGGGCUCUGCAACUCGAGCCCAUGAAGUUGGAAUCGCUAGUAAUCGUGGAUCAGCAUGCCACGGUG